rnacentral:rRNA from 1 species
CCUACGGGGUGCUGCAGUGAGGAAUAUUGGUCAAUGGGCGAGAGCCUGAACCAGCCAAGUCGCGUGAGGGAAGACGGUCCUACGGAUUGUAAACCUCUUUUGUCAGGGAGCAAGGAGCGCCACGAGUGGUGCGGCGAGAGUACCUGAAGAAAAAGCAUCGGCUAACUCCGUGCCAGCAGCCGCGGUAAUACGGAGGAUGCGAGCGUUAUUCGGAUUUAUUGGGUUUAACGGGUGCGGAGGCGGAGGCUGCAAGUCAGCGGUAAAAUUGCGGGGCGAAACCUCGCCGAGCCGUUGAAACAGCUCUUGGAGAGGAGGCGAGAAGUAUGCGGAAUGCGUGGUGUAGAGGUGAAAAGCAGAGAUAGCACGCAGAA